GAAGUCGAAGCCGAGCCCGAACCCGAAGCCAUCCGAAGCUCAUACAACAUUUGGGGCCAAAGGACGAACUGUGGCGCCGGAUAACGGAACCCAAAGCACCGGAACACUUCGAGGCGAAGCACGCGGCGCACGGAACGGCACGGCAGCCUAACGGUAAACAUUGAAUCGGCGGUGUUAUCAUCCUUCAUCCUCGUCGUCCGGUUACUGUUUAUUUUUUUUUGUUUUUUUGGCGUGCUUUUAGUUCGUUAUUCCGCUGACCGCUUAUCGUUAACUGUUAACUGUUAAACGUUUACCGCUAUCCGCGGACCGGAACGUUUACCGCGAGCUGGACUGCACCGUGAUACCGUUACGUUACGCGCCUUUGAAAAGCCAGCCACACAAAGAAGGGCCAUGAAUGGAGCAGAACAAAGAGUGCUGGCCAUUAAGUAACGCCACAAUCCCCGAAUCCUUCCUCCUCUGAUAACGGGCCGCAUAAAUUACGGUGAAAAGCAGAAAGCUGAUUGAAAACUUUUCGCAUUUCCCGAUAUUUUUUUGAAGGCAAUCUUGUUGUUGCCAUUUUUGUGAAUUUUUUUUUUGUUAAUGUGCCAAACCAAAGAAAAAAGUUAAUCAAAACUAAAAAAUACAAAAUAAAUCGGAAAUUUGUGCGAUAAGCCAAGCCCCCCUCCAGCCGCGCUCUCUUUUGAACGGAAGCUAACGGGAAGCUGAUAAACAGUUUGGCGCUCAAAAGAGUGGAAGGAGUGCUUCAAGAGUGGAAAUCAGCAAAAGCCGGCAUCAUCAGCAGCAGCAGCAGCAACGGAAGCUCUCAAAAGAGAGCAAGAGGCCAAAAGCCGGCAGAGACGCGCUCAAAGAGAGGCCGAAGGAGCAGCAGUAAGAACCGUUUAAUGAACAGAAGGAGUCUUGUGUAGCGGUCAAACCAGAGCCAGUAGCAAAAGCAAAAGCAAAAGCACGAGCAGAUCCAAGAGAGAACGAAUAAGAAGCAUCGAGCCGAAAGCCGGCAGCAGCAGGCGGCGCGCUCGAAAGAGAGGAACACGGCAGCGCUCAAAAGAGAGGCCAAACAGACGAGGAUAAGCCUGGCCGAUUGAGCUCUAUUCGGCUCCGCUUUGAGGUGAGUUUUGAGUGAG